GGCACCUUCGGGUGUAGUGGCGGACGGGUUAGUAACGCGUGGGAACGUGCCCUUCUCUACGGAAUAGCCUCGGGAAACUGAGCGUAAUACCGUAUACGCCCUUUGGGGGAAAGAUUUAUCGGAGAAGGAUCGGCCCGCGUUGGAUUAGGUAGUUGGUGGGGUAAUGGCCUACCAAGCCUGCGAUCCAUAGCUGGUUUGAGAGGAUGAUCAGCAACACUGGGACUGAGACACGGCCCAGACUCCUACGGGAGGCAGCAGUGGGGAAUCUUAGACAAUGGGGGCAACCCUGAUCUAGCCAUGCCGCGUGAGUGACGAAGGCCUUAGGGUCGUAAAGCUCUUUCGCUGGAGAAGAUAAUGACGGUAUCCAGUAAAGAAACCCCGGCUAACUCCGUGCCAGCAGCCGCGGUAAUACGGAGGGGGUUAGCGUUGUUCGGAAUUACUGGGCGUAAAGCGCGCGUAGGCGGAUUGGAAAGUUGGGGGUGAAAUCCCGGGGCUCAACCCCGGAACGGCCUCCAAAACUCCCAGUCUUGAGUUCGAGAGAGGUGAGUGGAAUUCCGAGUGUAGAGGUGAAAUUCGUAGAUAUUCGGAGGAACACCAGUGGCGAAGGCGG
rnacentral:rRNA from 1 species